CACAUGUGGGGCAAGCGUUGUUCGGAAUUACUGGGCAUAAAGGGUGCGUAGGUGGCUUGUUAAGUCAGGGGUGAAAGUUUUCGGCCCAACCGGAAAAUGGCCUUUGAUACUGGCGAGCUCGAGUGCGUGAGGGGUAACCGGAACGAGCAGUGUAGCGGUGAAAUGCGUAGAUAUUGCUCGGAAGGCCAACGGCGAAGGCAGGUUACUGGUGCGCAACUGACACUGAGGCACGAAAGCGUGGGGAGCAAACAGG
rnacentral:rRNA from 1 species